CCAAAACCAUCAUCGACGAUGAAAACUAUCACCAUUGAUUAUCUUCUUCUAUGGUAGUCACUUAGGUCUACUGCUUAUUUUUCUUUGUUCAAAUUUUAAAUCAGCAGCCCAUACCCAGAACCAACAUCGAGCCACCACGUUAACCUCUAUUUUUGGUGUUCGGUGGUCUCGUUAUGAGUUCAGUGAAAGUAUGCUAAGGUUUGAUUUGAAUUUACGAGGACGGGGCUUGGAUCUCAGUUGAACUGAGGGCUUGUGGUGAUGAUGUUCUUUGGGUGUUGUUGAUGGUGGAUGAUCGAAUUUUGCAAUGCCAUAUUCGUAAUCUACCUAGUCUUUCAUCACCAUUAUGCAAAACUUACUUGAGGAAAAUUGACUUUUCCACGUGGCCUACUUAGGCGGGGGGUGUAAGUUAGACUCGAAACUCAUAAUUGCGUUGGUGGAGAGGUGGAGACUAGAGACGCACACAUUCUAUUUUCAUGCUGCGAGUGUACUAUCACUCUAGAGGAUGUGCAAUUACAGUUGGGGUUACCCGUGGACGGAUCGGUAGUUAUCGAGUUUGUUCAAUCUACUAAUUGAGGGAUCGUCUGUUACGAGCUUUUGGGUGUAGUACCGAAGAUGAUUAUCGGAGGUCAAAUUGAAAUGGCCUUAUUACGAAAUAAUUUCAUGGAACUGGCGGAGGAUUCUACUGAAGAGAAAAGAGUACGAUACGCUCAGGUGUACAUCCUUCAUAUUAUCGGGGGUAUUCUGAUACCUGAUAAGUCACGAAACCUUGUACAUUUAAGGUGAUUGCUGAAACUCAUCAGUUUUAAACAGGCUAGCGAAACUUAGUUGGGGGUCCACAGUGUUGCCGACAUUGUAGUAGGAGAUGUGUUAGGCGACGAAAUCAGAAAAAAUCAAAAUUGGUGGUUUCCUUUUACUACUACAAUCAUAGGCUCAGUACUGCCUUCCACUUUUACGUCCUCGAGUGGACUACCCGUAUACAUUUCCACUCGUAACAAGGUGGAACCAUGACCUAAGUCAUUGGGAUUACCUAUUGAGUUUGAAGAUAAACGGCUUCUAUUGGACCAAAUGAUCGAAGUAGAU